rnacentral:misc_RNA from 1 species
UUAAGUUCAGCGGGUAUCCCUACCUGAUCCGAGGUCAAGAGCAAAUGAAUGAACUUGAUGGGUGCCAACAACAGUCACCAAGGGACGCAAAAUGUGCUGCGCUCCAAGCUAACAUGCCGGCUGCCAAUUGUUUUAAGGCGAGUCUGCACACCAAGGCGAGACAAACACCCAACACCAAGCAGAGCUUGAGGGUACAAAUG